UACGUAGGUGGCAAGCGUUGUCCGGAUUUACUGGGCGUAAAGAGCGCGCAGGCGGUCGAUUAAGUCGGGUGUGAAAGCCCCCGGCUCAACUGGGGAGGGUCACUUGAUACUGGUCGACUCGAAGGCAGGAGAGGGAAGUGGAAUUCCCGGUGUAGUGGUGAAAUGCGUAGAUAUCGGGAGGAACACCAGUGGCGAAGGCGACUUCCUGGCCUGUUCUUGACGCUGAGGCGCGAAAGCUAGGGGAGCAAACGGG
rnacentral:rRNA from 1 species